GCUGGGAGCAGUGGCUCACGCCUGUAAUCCCAGCACUUUGGGAGGCCGAGGCGGGCAGAUCACUUGAGGUCAGGAGUUUGAGACCAGUGUGGCCAACAUGGUGAAAACCCAUCUCUGCUAAAAAUACAAAAAUUAGCCGGGCAUGGUGGUGUGCACCACCACGCCCAGCUAAUUUUUUGUGUGUGUUUUUAAUAGAGAAGGGGUUUCCAUGUUGUCAGGCUGGUCUCAAACUCCUGACCUCAAGUGAUCUACCCGCCUCAG
rfam:Pan troglodytes isolate Yerkes chimp pedigree #C0471 (Clint) chromosome 10, whole genome shotgun sequence.